UACGUAGGGUGCAAGCGUUGUCCGGAAUUAUUGGGCGUAAAGAGCUCGUAGGCGGUCUGUCACGUCGGCUGUGAAAACCCGAGGCUCAACCUCGGGCCUGCAGCCGAUACGGGCAAACUAGAGUACUGCAGGGGAGACUGGAAUUCCUGGUGUAGCGGUGAAAUGCGCAGAUAUCAGGAGGAACACCGGUGGCGAAGGCGGGUCUCUGGGCAGUAACUGACGCUGAGAAGCGAAAGCAUGGGGAGCGAACAGG
rnacentral:rRNA from 1 species